ACCUUUAUACCUCUAUAUCUACCGCUCCAGUUGGUGUCAGAAGUUCCUAUGUGGCUUCUGAUGCUUACUCUGAUGAGAGAGAGAGAGAGAGACGUCCAUUGUUGCGUCUCUCCUUAAUUGUUAUGGUUGUGAUAUGUCUCCUGUUUAAUGUGAGCCUUCUAAUGCAGUUUUGUUCCAUGCAUGCUGGUUGCUGCUGAUUCUGCACUCUCUUGGUUUAGCUAUGUCAUUAUUAACAAUUGUCCCUACACUGAGCUCACCUGUUGUCAUUUGUGUUGUUUGGGCAACUUUGAAACUAUGUACUGCUGAUGAAGACUGUCAAAGGAGUAGACACAUACAAGAGGAACACAGGGAAGCAAUGACGUCAGCGAGGUCCGGACCUCGUUUUUUAUAAUUUUAUAGUAACAGUUUAACUAGUGUAAUAAUAUAUUUAUUCCGGUGCAUGUUGACUGAAUUGAUCUCAGUUUAUUUCUGUCUCCUCAAAUUAUUUCUAGUCCUGCUGAGGUCUCAGCUGAUUCUUUCAACAAGUGGGCAAUAUAA